CAGCCGCCGCGGUAAUACAGAGGGUACUAGCGUUGUUCGGAAUGACUGGGCGUAAAGGGUGCGUAGGUGGUUUGUUAAGUGAGAUGUCAAAGCCCGAGGCUUAACCUCGGAAUCGCGUUUCAAACUGGCAGACUAGAGUGUAGUAGAGGAAAGCGGAAUUCCUAGUGUAGAGGUGAAAUUCGUAGAUAUUAGGAGGAACACCAGAGGCGAAGGCGGCUUUCUGGGCUAUAACUGACACUGAGGCACGAAAGCGUGGGGAGCAAACAGGAUUAGAUACCCUGGUAGUCCACGCCCUAAACGAUGAGUGCUAGACGUCGGAUUUUUUCGGUGUCGCAGCUAACGCGUGAAGCACUCCGCCUGAGGACUACGAUCGCAAGAUUAAAACUUAAAGGAAUUGACGG
rnacentral:rRNA from 1 species